GAACUGAAGAGUUUGAUCAUGGCUCAGAUUGAACGCUGGCGGCAGGCCUAACACAUGCAAGUCGAGCGGAUGACGGGAGCUUGCUCCUUGAUUCAGCGGCGGACGGGUGAGUAAUGCCUAGGAAUCUGCCUGGUAGUGGGGGACAACGUUUCGAAA
rnacentral:ncRNA from 1 species